CAUGACAUAUAGUGAGGCAGUGACAACAUUGAAAUACAUAGAAUACAUCGGAUAUAUUGAAAUUCAAUUAAAAAAAAAAAAGACAAUGUAUAUAAUGAAAUACAUGGAAUACAGUGAUAUACAUUGAAUUACAAUGAAAAAAAUAAUUAAAUACAUAAAAAAUAUAGCAUGAUACGCUGAAGCGGAGAGGAAAUUUGUGGGUAUGAUUGAGUCAAGUCCCAUUACUUUUGGACCUAGGCUGUCUUUUGAAGCGGCGUUGCAACGUAAACUUUACGAAUCUUGUACUAGCUAUUUGUGUUGGUCGUUAAUGAGAUUCUUGCCCUGUUUUGGCUUUUGUUAUGUCCAGGCAUGUGACAUGGGAUUUUUGGGGUGGGAAGUGGCCGGCUGUGGCUGGAGACGGGGUGUUCUGGCCGCUGGUGUUAUUGGUGGAAGAGGGUGGACGCCUGAAGGCUUGGGAGUGAAGAGGAGAAAGAGUUUGGGUGGCUCAGGCUUAGAGGUUCAGGGGGGUCGCUGGCUUUUGGAUUUUUCGGCGACUGAUGGCUUGCGGCAGUGAGCAAAUGGUGGACUGCCGGUGGCUGCUUAGGGGCUUCGGAUGCUGCUGGUUUCGGGGUUCUCAUAGUCUAGGGUGUGUGGAAGAAGUAGAAGGGGUCAUCGUUGUGAGAUCCGCGAGCGAAGCCCUCAAUCCUGUUUUUUGGGAAUGGAGAAGAAUGACAUGUAUCAAAGUACAACAACAACAACAACAACCCAGUAUAAUCUCACUGAGUGGGGUCUGGGGAGGGUAGUAUGUAC
rnacentral:lncRNA from 1 species